GUCGGGAGUUAGGAAAUGUAAGUGCGCUAAUAUCGCAUUUAUUUGACAAAGGCUCCAAAGGAAGCCACGGCUAACUCUGUGCCAGCAGCCGCGGUAAUACAGAGGUGGCAAGCGUUGUUCGGAAUUAUUGGGCGUAAAGAGCACGUAGGUGGGUUUGUAAGUCAGAUGUGAAAGCCUUCUGUUCAACGGAAGAAUUGCAUCUGAAACUACAAGUCUUGAGUGUAGGAGGGGAGAGUGGAACUUCUGGU
rnacentral:rRNA from 1 species